AAUCUUCCACAAUGGGCGAAAGCCUGAUGCAGCAACGCCGCGUGAGGGAAGAAGGAUUUCGGAUCGUAAAACUCUGUUGUAAGGGAAGAACAAGUACAGUAGUAACUGGCUGUACCUUGACGGUACCUUAUUAGAAAGCCACGGCUAACUACGUGCCAGCAGCCGCGGUAAUACGUAGGUGGCAAGCGUUGUCCGGAAUUAUUGGGCGUAAAGAGCGCGCAGGUGGUUUCUUAAGUCUGAUGUAAAAGCCCACGGCUCAACCGUGGAGGGUCAUUGGAAACUGGGAGACUUGAGUACAGAAGAGGAUAGUGGAAUUCCAAGUGUUGCAGUGAAAUGAGUAGGGAUUUGGAGGAACACCAGUGGCGAAGGCGACUAUCUGGUCUGUAACCGACACUGAGGCGCGAAAGCGUGGGGAGCAAACA
rnacentral:rRNA from 1 species